CAGCCGCCGGGGAAUACGAAGGGGGCUAGCGUUGUUCGGAAUUACUGGGCGUAAAGCGCACGUAGGCGGAUAUUUAAGUCAGGGGUGAAAUCCCGCAGCUCAACUGCGGAACUGCCUUUGAUACUGGGUAUCUUGAGUAUGGAAGAGGUUAGUGGAAUUGCGAGUGUAGAGGUGAAAUUCGUAGAUAUUCGCAGGAACGCCAGUGGCGAAGGCGGCUAACUGGUCCAUAACUGACGCUGAGGUGCGAAAGCGUGGGGAGCAAACAGGAUUAGAUACCCCGGUAGUCCCUGUCUCUUAUACA
rnacentral:rRNA from 1 species